AGUAGCUGUGGGCAGGAGCGUUCAUUUCCGUAGUGUUUACUGGAGAUGGUCAGACCCUUCUGGGAGGGGAUGUUUGGCUGUUAAGCAGAUUGAAGGUUUUCACGCUCAUAUGUGUGGGGCUUAAUGUUUGGUCCGGUUUUGGUUUUGUUUUUUAAUGGUAGGCUGUAGCUGGAGUGAAGAUGGUAUUCCUGCAAGGAACCCAGACCCCUGGCAUUUUUCAGCUGCUGAUCAACGUCUGGGUGACUUGUUUACUAUUGUUUUUUCAGAUGCAGAGGGACAAGAUACACACCAAAGAGCAAUGGAGAAAGCGAGCAGGGCACGGUUAGAUGGUGAGUCGAUGCAUGGCGUGAGGGGAAAAUGCAGGUGGCGGCUACGGGACUAUAUUAGGGCUUGAUAGUGGGGUUUUAACUUUUCAGACAUGAAGUGAUGAGUGAAGCAGGCUAUUGGCACCGGAGGUGACCCAGUCAAGGUGAGCAAUAAGUAGUAGCCCUUCUUUCUAGGUGUUGUGUUCUGGAUGAUGUUCAAAGUGUCCCUUGGCUCUGUUUUACAGAGGGUGUGCAAGCCUCAAAGCGACAGCCAAAAAUCACGGAGGGCAGUCGGGCGAGCAGCCAAGGUAAAGGAGCGGGGUACAGGACUCGCUGGGGGUCGGCUGAGGUUUCGGGCCAUAUCUCAGCACAUGGCUUUUGCUUUGUAUUUUUCAGAUACCUCACACAGGCUCAGAGAAGCGAAGCCUCAUGCCUGUGGACGGGCCGAGAAGGUGCCAGAAGUGACAAUGGUGACAGCGUCUGACUCUGGAAGGAUCAGGUGAGCGGAACGCCAUCACCGUUUUGAGGAGGGUGAGUUGUGGGAGAGGUCGGCGCUGACCUGUGUGAUAUUUCUUGCUGGUGCUGGUUAUGGAUUUUUUUUUUUAAUUGCAGAUGGUGAAGAGGAACCUGAUGACUGUAGUAACGUCCCAGAUAGCUGAUGUGUUGGUUUUUUUGUCAACAGGAGAGUAAAGCCCCCCUGGCUUUCUGCAAGCUAAGUUGAGGGACCCAGGCUGGGGAGGGGCUGAGAGGUGGGGACGGGGGUAAGAGCUGAAGCGGGGGGCGUUCUAAAGUCAGAGCAGAGCAGGGGGCUGUCCCAGAGCAGCCCACUCUGGGUGGGUAAGGCCAGUGGGUUACUUUUCAGCACAAAUCCAGCGUGUGCCAGGCACGGCAGUUCUGGGUAGUGUCUGUUGUGUAGUUUAUGUGGUUUGUCUCCUAUGUCUUAAACUUUCCUCAGGUCUUGCUGUCCUCAUUGCUCUUUGUACUCAAGGGGCACAGUGGGUGCCCCAGGCACUCCCUGUAGGGUCUGGAAUACCUGCACUCAUCAGCAUCGUGCCCAAGGGGCGCUUCUUUUCUUUUCUUGCGUAACAGUCUUAAAACGUGGAUCUGACCUGCAUCUUGGACAUGUUGGGAUGGUCCUAUUUUUCUGUUGUCGUUCCCGGCUGCGCGAGCGGCUCUGUUCUCUAGCCAUCCAUUUUCAGGGACUGGGAUUUCUUCCCUGCAUCCUUACUUUCUCUAGGUCUUGAAGCCAGGCUUCUUGUGUGUACAUCCUGUCUGUUUUGACAGGAGGUUUUUGUACUGGGCCAUUAAAUUUGACUCUCUUAUGGAAUGGUCAUAGAGCCUCUUGAUGUCAGGGCUGUGGCCAUGCAGGUCUUCUGGUCCAAUAGCUCCUCUGGUCUGGAAGUCAUUCUUCUUGCAGAGAGUGUUGUCUGAUGUUUGAGUCGCAGUGUCUAUUGUGGUGUGUGGUGUUGGGUUUCACAGGGGUGCAUUUGUGGUGGAGCUGCC
rnacentral:lncRNA from 1 species